AGUGAACGCUGGCGGUAGGCCUAACACAUGCAAGUCGAACGGCAGCACAGUAAGAGCUUGCUCUUACGGGUGGCGAGUGGCGGACGGGUGAGGAAUACAUCGGAAUCUACUUUUUCGGGGGGGAUAACGUAGGGAAACUUACGCUAAUACCGCAUACGGCCUACGGGUGAAAGCAGGGGAUCUUCGGACCUUGCGCGAUUGAAUGAGCCGAUGUCGGAUUAGCUAGUUGGCGGGGUAAAGGCCCACCAAGGCGACGAUCCGUAGCUGGUCUGAGAGGAUGAUAAGCCACACUGGAACGGAGACACGGUCCAGACUCCUAAGGGAGGCAGCAGUGGGGAAUAUUGGACAAUGGGCGCAAGCCUGAUCCAGCUAUACCGCGUGGGUGAAGAAGGCCUUCGGGUUGUAAAGCCCUUUUGUUGGGAAAGAAAAGCAGCAGGUUAAUACCCCGCUGUUCUGACGGUACCCAAAGAAUAAGCACCGGCUAACUUCGUG
rnacentral:rRNA from 1 species